UUAAGCGACUAAGCGUACACGGUGGAUGCCCUGGCAGUCAGAGGCGAUGAAGGACGUGCUAAUCUGCGAUAAGCGUCGGUAAGGUGAUAUGAACCGUUAUAACCGGCGAUUUCCGAAUGGGGAAACCCAGUGUGUUUCGACACACUAUCAUUAACUGAAUCCAUAGGUUAAUGAGGCGAACCGGGGGAACUGAAACAUCUAAGUACCCCGAGGAAAAGAAAUCAACCGAGAUUCCCCAAGUAGCGGCGAGCGAACGGGGAGCAGCCCAGAGCCUGAAUCAGUGUGUGUGUUAGUGGAAGCGUCUGGAAAGGCGCGCGAUACAGGGUGACAGCCCCGUACACAAAAAUGCACAUGCUGUGAGCUCGAUGAGUAGGGCGGGACACGUGGUAUCCUGUCUGAAUAUGGGGGGACCAUCCUCCAAGGCUAAAUACUCCUGACUGACCGAUAGUGAACCAGUACCGUGAGGGAAAGGCGAAAAGAACCCCGGCGAGGGGAGUGAAAAAGAACCUGAAACCGUGUACGUACAAGCAGUGGGAGCACGCUUAGGCGUGUGACUGCGUACCUUUUGUAUAAUGGGUCAGCGACUUAUAUUCUGUAGCAAGGUUAACCGAAUAGGGGAGCCGAAGGGAAACCGAGUCUUAACUGGGCGUUAAGUUGCAGGGUAUAGACCCGAAACCCGGUGAUCUAGCCAUGGGCAGGUUGAAGGUUGGGUAACACUAACUGGAGGACCGAACCGACUAAUGUUGAAAAAUUAGCGGAUGACUUGUGGCUGGGGGUGAAAGGCCAAUCAAACCGGGAGAUAGCUGGUUCUCCCCGAAAGCUAUUUAGGUAGCGCCUCGUGAAUUCAUCUCCGGGGGUAGAGCACUGUUUCGGCAAGGGGGUCAUCCCGACUUACCAACCCGAUGCAAACUGCGAAUACCGGAGAAUGUUAUCACGGGAGACACACGGCGGGUGCUAACGUCCGUCGUGAAGAGGGAAACAACCCAGACCGCCAGCUAAGGUCCCAAAGUCAUGGUUAAGUGGGAAACGAUGUGGGAAGGCCCAGACAGCCAGGAUGUUGGCUUAGAAGCAGCCAUCAUUUAAAGAAAGCGUAAUAGCUCACUGGUCGAGUCGGCCUGCGCGGAAGAUGUAACGGGGCUAAACCAUGCACCGAAGCUGCGGCAGCGACGCUUAUGCGUUGUUGGGUAGGGGAGCGUUCUGUAAGCCUGCGAAGGUGUGCUGUGAGGCAUGCUGGAGGUAUCAGAAGUGCGAAUGCUGACAUAAGUAACGAUAAAGCGGGUGAAAAGCCCGCUCGCCGGAAGACCAAGGGUUCCUGUCCAACGUUAAUCGGGGCAGGGUGAGUCGACCCCUAAGGCGAGGCCGAAAGGCGUAGUCGAUGGGAAACAGGUUAAUAUUCCUGUACUUGGUGUUACUGCGAAGGGGGGACGGAGAAGGCUAUGUUGGCCGGGCGACGGUUGUCCCGGUUUAAGCGUGUAGGCUGGUUUUCCAGGCAAAUCCGGAAAAUCAAGGCUGAGGCGUGAUGACGAGGCACUACGGUGCUGAAGCAACAAAUGCCCUGCUUCCAGGAAAAGCCUCUAAGCAUCAGGUAACAUCAAAUCGUACCCCAAACCGACACAGGUGGUCAGGUAGAGAAUACCAAGGCGCUUGAGAGAACUCGGGUGAAGGAACUAGGCAAAAUGGUGCCGUAACUUCGGGAGAAGGCACGCUGAUAUGUAGGUGAAGUCCCUCGCGGAUGGAGCUGAAAUCAGUCGAAGAUACCAGCUGGCUGCAACUGUUUAUUAAAAACACAGCACUGUGCAAACACGAAAGUGGACGUAUACGGUGUGACGCCUGCCCGGUGCCGGAAGGUUAAUUGAUGGGGUUAGCGCAAGCGAAGCUCUUGAUCGAAGCCCCGGUAAACGGCGGCCGUAACUAUAACGGUCCUAAGGUAGCGAAAUUCCUUGUCGGGUAAGUUCCGACCUGCACGAAUGGCGUAAUGAUGGCCAGGCUGUCUCCACCCGAGACUCAGUGAAAUUGAACUCGCUGUGAAGAUGCAGUGUACCCGCGGCAAGACGGAAAGACCCCGUGAACCUUUACUAUAGCUUGACACUGAACAUUGAGCCUUGAUGUGUAGGAUAGGUGGGAGGCUU
rnacentral:rRNA from 2 species